rnacentral:rRNA from 1 species
AGUGAACGCUGGCGGUAGGCCUAACACAUGCAAGUCGAACGGCAGCACAGUAAGAGCUUGCUCUUACGGGUGGCGAGUGGCGGACGGGUGAGGAAUACAUCGGAAUCUACUUUUUCGUGGGGGAUAACGUAGGGAAACUUACGCUAAUACCGCAUACGACCUACGGGUGAAAGCAGGGGAUCUUCGGACCUUGCGCGAUUGAAUGAGCCGAUGUCGGAUUAGCUAGUUGGCGGGGUAAAGGCCCACCAAGGCGACGAUCCGUAGCUGGUCUGAGAGGAUGAUCAGCCACACUGGAACUGAGACACGGUCUAGACCCCUACGGGAGGCAGCAGUGGGGAAUAUUGGACAAUGGGCGCAAGCCUGAUCCAGCCAUACCGCGUGGGUGAAGAAGGCCUUCGGGUUGUAAAGCCCUUUUGUUGGGAAAGAAAAGCAGCAGGUUAAUACCCCGCUGUUCUGACGGUACCCAAAGAAUAAGCACCGGCUAACUUCGUG